GGAAGGGGCCAGGUGGCCGCCCGUCCGUUCCGCCUCAGGCGGAGCGGGCGAGAGGAAAGUCCGAGCUCCACAGGGCAAGGUGGUGGAUAACGCCCACCGGGACCCCGUAACAGGGGUUUCAGGGAAAGUGCCACAGAAAAUAUACCGCCCGCCUCGGCGGGUAAGGGUGAAAAGGCGGGGGGGCUAAUUAAGGCCCCUUAAUGUAAGAGCCCACCGCAGUCCUGGUGACAGGGCUGGCACGGCAAACCCCACCUGGAGAAAGGCUAAAUAGGGAGGGAAGGAAGUGGCCCGCUUCAUGCCCCGCACCUUAUUGGUAUGGGGUGUCCCUCCGGGUAAGCCGCUAUGAGGUAGUGGGUAACUACUACCCUAGAGUAAUGGCCACCCACGACAGGACUCGGCUUAUCGGCCCCUUCCCGGU
rnacentral:RNase_P_RNA from 2 species